UUUUUAUCCACAAUAUCCUAUUGGGCAGCAGUAAUUUUGAAAUGCUAUUAGUUCCAUCAACUAGAAUAAAAAAGGUUUUAGGACAGACUACUAUUUAGGUUGUAGGAAAAAAACUUGCUAGUCAGAAGACAUGGUGGUUUGCUAUAAAAAAAGAUAUUUUUAGUGGUAUUUUUAUUUCUUUCUUUAAUUCCAAAUUUCUGUCUUUAUAACGCGUAAAGUGCAAUGCCUUGAUGUAUUUUAUUGUAAAUUCUCCUUAUAACAGAUUGCUGUAGUCGAGGCUUAUGCCAGGUAGAAAAAAGAUUGAGCCCACGUGAAGACAGCUCACAAUAAUGGAGUUUACCUCCGGCUUAUUCCCACUCAAGGAAUUGCAUUAGAACUACGUAGGCAGUGUUUUUCCUUCUAAGGUAACAUCUUCCCCCCUAUAUCCUCAGUGCAGCAUCAAGAUGUAUGUACGUAUGUUAUCAAUAUACCUUUUUUUGGUGGGCAGAGGUGCGUUACAACAGUCAUGUUGUCUUUGAGUGGCUGAGAACAAUUAAUAGAACCCAUUUUUUCUCUAGUUUUUUGUUCUGUUCAACCAAUAUAUAUGGGUCUCACUAACAUUUUAUUAGUCAAAACGUUUUCUAGAAUUCAACUUCUUUGUUUGUCACUGUAUAACUUUAGAUAAAGCAUGUAAUAGUCAUUUACAGUGGUGAUUAUCGACUGUGGGACGCUUAAUGUUUACUUAUACUUGAUGCUUUCACAUACAAAUAUUUUCACCAUACAUUUCAGUCCCCUGAUAAGUGGCAACUACUUCUUUGGUGGGAUUUUAAAUUUUCAUUCUGAAGAUCGUGUGUUCGACCAUACUUGUGCGGUUUACAUGAAUGCUGAGAGAUGUUUAUCCAUCCUGAAUCCUUCUGCAAACGACUUUCUGAAUGUUGAAUUCGCACUACAUAAUAGCCCCUUUCGAUCAUUGCUAUAAAGUACUCCCACAGAGGAGGGUAUGCCUCCCUUGGUGUGCAUUCAAGGUUAUCCUUUUUUUCUUUUAGUUUCUUUGUUCACUUUUGAUUCAUGUUUUCACGUUAUUGUAGAUGGGGAUGGCUUUAUGUUAACAUACAUGUUCUCCUUUCAAAUAAGAUAGAUAGCAGGGCGGUGUUGCAUUUCAUAAGGUGGUGAUGCCUCAAUGUUUUCUAUCGUUUUAAUUAUUAUGGCCAUUGCAAAUGCUGUCUUGGGGAUGGACUCUUGGGGGUCUGCAUUCGAAAUUUUACUUCCAUUUCCCUAGGACCUUGUUUGAGCUUCAGUUAUCUGCUGUUUCACAACCAGCAUUGAUCUUAUGAAUCUAGACCAAUAAUACUCGGAUUCACUUGAAUAUAAUAAAAAUAUAAAUUGUUGGUAUUGGUGUGCAUUAUAAAAAAUCAGUGGUCCAAAUGUCACUCAUAACUCAAAAAGGAAAUACGAAGAAAGGACAAUUGACAAUAAGUUAACACGUAGACAUUUAACCAAGCCUAUAGCAUUGAUAAGCAAAAUGACAAAAAAAGAAAUUCAUGUAGCUUGCCCCGAUUGAAUUGGCUCAAAUCUCCUACUACAUAAUAAAUUCUGCAAUAAUUGAUGGAUGCUAGAUUCUUUUCGUAUGUGUAUUUUACACGUCUUCAUAUUCUUGAUCAAGAGUUUUGUAUGUUUAUGUUUUAUUUGUAAAAACAAGUGAGUUUUUGAGUUUAUUACUGGUCUCGAAGUUCUACUGUUUUCAUUGAUAUGCAGAAUUGAGAACGCACUGAAUAUGGUCUGGAAGAUUUUGACUUGGACCAUGAAAGGUUCACCCAGGUGUAUUUUAUUGUUUAUUUUUCUGUUCCUCUUCUUGUUUCUUUUUUCUUUUCUGUGUGGUGUGUGUGGUGUGUGUGUGUGUGUGGUGGGGGUGAGGAUACAGUGUAUAGGCUUUUGGAUUGGGAAGUUAUUGAUGCAGACGCUUCUAAUGAAUUUAUUCAUAGAUUAUCAAUGCGGGGUCCUCAGAUGUUCAAAGCCUGGGACAUUUGUCUUGCGGUGGGAUACUUAUAGCUUUUUUUGUGGGUGGAAGAUAUUCUCCUUUCAGUAGAUUCAUUCAGCUGUCUAGGUCCUAAUCAUCAAUGCGUUCAUUUUAGAUGUCUAAACUCUGGGAUUUGGCUUGCAAAAACGAUAACAGUCAGCAAUACUCCAGUAAUUCAAAGGUUGGAACGACCAGUUUUUGCUACUGAUUUAUUCUUCUUUGUUCAACUAAACAUUGCAUUUUAAGGUAAGUAGCAGGAAGAUAUUUAACAUCAUCCUCGUUAACGCUGCAUGCAUUGUCGUUUCUUUAACACUUGGCUGCAAUUCAAUUUUCUGUGGCUGUUGUCUCUGGACAGAUUGUGAUUUGUUUUGAUGCCGGAAUCAUUAUAGUAAAUAUUGGUGGAGAAGAACCUGUAUGAGGACAGACCGUAGUGGAAAUCAUAUUGGCUAAGGCUCUAAUCAUAAUGAAAUCAGACUGUUGAAGGAAAAAAAACAAAGAAAAAAACAAAUACACUUUCAAAAAUCAAUCAACUAUUUCUCACUUCGGAGAACUUUACUCACCUCCCCCCUCCCUGCCCCCCCUUAGAUUUCUCUUCCUGUGUCACCACCCAUUCAGCGGAGUCAACGGUUCCACAACCAACCGUAAAAUAAUUGAUUCUUGUCAAAGCCUCCCGCAGCACAACUUCAACUAAUCGUUUUAAAGCUUCCAACUCAAAACACGAUUGGCACUAGUUGAAUGACAAAACCCACAAGGCUCUCCAUAAUACAAACUUGAUAGUAGGGUUCAUAACACCAAUGUUGGGACAAACGCGCACCCCAACAAGAAUCCAGAUAUUAAUAUGGAUUGAAUACAAGUAUUGUACGUUGCAUUGUGCAGAUUGUGGAAUAGUAUAGCGUGAGUAAUUCUUCCCCGCUUACUCUCUGGUUCAACGUUCACGUCUCAAAUAGUUUCGCAUUUUAUUGCUAUAAAAAUUUCAGAUCCCAAAAACAAUACCUCAUACCCUCCACAUCACACGUCCUCCUCCCCUAUAAAGUUUUCACGCUUCAAUAGGGAAUUUGUAGACAUUGCCAAGUAUUAUCCAUGCACAAUAGUUAAUUUUCCCUUUUUAACCGAAUAGUAUUUGUUCCCAGCUAACAACUUCCUACGGGCCCGUUGCCAAUGUUUUCACUAGGGGGGGCAAUUAUCCCUCCCCAUAGAAAAAAACAAAAAAAUCAUAAAAUGGGUCUUACUUUAACACCAUUCUACCAUUUAAAAAAAAAAUGAUCUUAUGACAUAGGAACUAAUGCCUCGCUACUUUGCUUCUAAUUUCCAAACAUUUUAUUACCCAGACAUACUUCUAGACACGGUUUGUAAAAAAGUAUCGCCUGCACAAUUUACACUGGAUUGAGCCAGUACAUAUGCCAGUGUUGAGAUGAGUGCGUACACAAACGGAACGCCGAUAACAUUUAAGGGGUGUCAUUGCAGCAUACGAUAGCCGUGAGCCUAACAAGGAGAAAGCAUAGAUCAAUGCUCAUCUGGCUUUACCGAUUUUUAAAAAUGAUCAUAUAUUGAUAAUACUAACUAACCCGUCAAUUGGUCAGCACGCACCACCAGCACCCGCAAUGAUACCUGAGAUCCCCUCGCUCCCCGGUCCCGGCAGACGAAGCAUAAGAAACAUGAUUUUUCAUGGGUUCGAUGUGGCUGACUACUAUCUCACCUGUGCAACUUACUUCAGCAUUACAUUUUAAGCUACACUAAACGUGUUUUAGUGUGGUUCAAAAUAACAACAACUCCAAAAUUCCAAGCCACUAACAGUAAAAUCCACAAAAAUCAAUCACCUCUGAGGAACGUCGAAAAUGUUCAAAAUUUUGCUGCAUCCUUCAUAAUAGGAAGAUCUUAAUCAGACCCAUAAUGAUCCCAACACCGUGGUGGACUGCCAACAAAUAAAUAAAGCACAUGCCUGAACACAAACUUUCAUGCAUCAUAAUUUAGAAGGAUAAGGAAGAUGAUUGUCAAUGAAAACAAGAAAAAGAGAUGCUGGCUGCAGCUUGGUAUUUUAAUUUUAUUUGGGUAAAACAUUGUCACUAUGUAAUAUCCUAACCCGUAAAUUAUUUACUUUAUAAAAAAAUAAAAUAAUAAAUAAUAAGUAUAUAAAAUUGGUGAUGAUUAAAAUUUUUGAUUUUCUUAUUGUAACAGAAAAUAGAACGUCCGGGAGAUUUCUGAUAAAACGUAACAGAACUCCAAAGUGUGUGGCCCCCGGAGGGCUCCACAGGAUUGGGUGGACUCACACUCAUGAGCAUACCCUAGCCCAUACCCUAGCCAACCACUCCCUCUCCUAAAAGUCAUCAAACCCCCACAACACACACAUUCACGUUGCAAGGAGAGAGAUAGAAAGAGAAUGAGAGAAAGAAAGAGAGAACACCAGAGCAGAACAAAAGUAGAAAAGAAAGAAAGAAGAAAAGGAGUCAAAACUGAAAAAUACUUCGAUAGCUAUUGAGGUACAAAUUCAAUUCCUCUUCAUUCUUUAAUUUUAUUAUUUAAUUUUAAGUCUUAUUAACAUAACUGUUUAUCAUAUCGUAAACCCUCAAAUACCCCGACCAAUAUCGUAUUUUAUCCGUAUUUUUAAAUUAAAAAUUCGAAUAAGUCGAAAUCUUAUUUUUACCACUGGAACAUGUCAAGAAUCGUAUUUUUAUAUCCUAACUUCUUCAUAUACGACAUCCAAAUUAACACAAUUUAAGUUGCGUGAAAUAUAUUAAAAUUAUCUACACUUUUAUUCAGAACUUUAUUUUCAUUCAGACUCUAAAUGAUCUAAAAUUUACCCUGCAAAAUAUGAAUUUCCCGAAACUUGAAAAAAUAUUUUGAACAGAAAUUUUGUGAAUUUUAUAGAAAGAUUUACAUACAAUACAUUAUGAAAAUCUGAUAUUUUUAAAUGUGAUACACUUAUAUGUCUAAUUAUUAAUAUUUAAUUUCCUGAAUUUAGAAAAGUUUUAAAUGCUUACAAAAUUUAUAAACCGUAGGCUACUGACAAAAAGAAUUAUUGCGAACUGGAGUCGUUUGGACAAGUUUUAAAAAUAGUUAGAUAAGCUUACAAUUUCUUUAUAUAUUUACUGUAGAUACAUAUAGGUGUCUAAUGUUAUGUAAAAUUUUUGGAGUCAAAUUAGCACUGAGGGAUUUUAAUUAAAUAAUCAACGACUGACUUAUUUGAAAUUUAGUGCAGAAUUCUACAGGAAAUUAAUUCGAAUUAUUUUAAUUUCUUAACUUAGAAAAUUUAAAUUUUAGUAUAUUAUCAUAACCACGAGACCGUUAAAACUAACAUUCGAUUAUUAAACUUAUGAUCCGAAAUCGGGAACUUAGCUCACGGUGUAUAGGAAGACUAGACAUUACGCCUCUGUGAGUCUUUAUAUUUUACAUUAAAAUUAUUUUGAAUAAUGAUAGCAUGUGUUGUAUGUUAAAACUUAUUUUUCAUGUUAAAAGCAUGCUAUGUUUUUCUGUGCAUUAAAUGUAAUAGCAUAAUUUGUGAAAGUAGAUUUUUAGUAGCCUGACACAUAGUUCAAAACGGUACCUACCGCCACCACCGCCAGCGCUAGGGAAAAAAAGGAAUAUAGCGGGGGUCGUUAAAUAAGUAGAAAAUCAUUGCCCAAGUGAUUUAGGAUGAUAUCAUGCCAUUUAUAUUAUUGGGUCGCUCCCUAAUUUUCUAGUGAUUGUUUAACUGGUAAUUGUUUCAGUUUCAAUCGAUAUAAUUUUUUUUGUUUUGAACUUGAUAUAAUAUCCCAGGGUAGUUUUGGCCUAGAUGAUUCAAUGAUUGUAUAAUAAUUGACAAAAGAGAAAUGUUUUUCAGUAGAAAUGAAUUUAUGUUAUAACUUAUGUCACAAGUAGUUUACACAUACCUUGACUCACUAACCCAGUGCUUAAGACGUAGUUGUACGUAAAAUUUCAUGGCCAUAGAACGAUGAGGAGCACGACUGAGGGCCGGCUACCCUAGUGUUGUUUUGGAUAACCUAUGUUAUGUUGUUAGUUUAGAAUGUAUAUUUUUGUUAUGGUUGUGCCGAGCAUUGUGGCCAGAACCGUAGGUUGUAAUUUACUUUAUUUCAGAUGAAUACAAUACUUUUUAUUGUAAUGACACUCAACUUCUUAGUUAUUUUAAAUUUAACUUCCGCAUGUUGUUUUAUUUCAUUCAAGCAUAUAUAUUGAAUGAUAGAAAUCCCUAACUAAGACAUUUAGUAGGCGUUAGUGGUGGAUGCCGGUCACGUGGCAAAACCUAAAAUACAGGUGGACCCAAGUAAAAUGGGGUCGGGUUCGUUACACACUACUUGACCAUUACUCACAAUCAUGUUACAAUUCGCUACGACAAUACCAAAUUUUCCCCUCUUGGAUCCCCAACUCUGCAAUUUAGAUUUGGUGUAAAUGUUUCAAAUGCCAGUGGCAGGUUUUCAGAUAUCGACUUCAUCUACCACAACAUCAUUCUUUUCUGUUAGUCAUUUCUUUUCUUUUCGCGUUUUUUUCUCUGUUCCUCUCUAAGUGUGCUACUAACGCUGAAAUUCAUGUGGAAACACGUACCGUCAGAAACUUUGACUAUGCAUCUGUUUACUUCCCUUAUUCAUUUUCAAAUCACUAUUGAUACAGUUGUUUGGACUCUCUGCAAGUCGUACUCAUAGCACCUGUUCCUCAUACCCAAGCACAUGUUAUUCAUGACUGAGGCAGAACAGUCAUGACACUCCUAGAAAAUUGCCAGGGCAGGCCUUAUAAGUUGUGUAUGCCAACUUAUGUCCUUAGAACCUUUUCAGAUACAAUAACGCUUUAAAAGAAAUGAUUUGAAAUUUACAUAUUUUGUUUUGGCUUGUGUGAAAAUACUGCAACGUUUAUGGCAUUUUUAGUUAGAGGCAUAUUACUAACAACUGCAAUAACAAGCCAGCUCAUAAUAGAUUCCACUCUGUCAGAUUAAAAUGGCAUCAGACCUCCUGCCAAAGAACGGUCCCACAAAACUGACCUGCAGUCUGCCCAUCUAAAAUGCUUCUCCACCAAGCUUGAUUUUAGCCGCGCUUCCUCCACAAUUCCCACAGAAAUGUCCAACAAUAGUAAAUAUGAAUGACCCAUCUUUCGAUCCUACGCAUUUCGUACUAUCAUUAGAAAUGGAAUAUAGUAUUAGGCGAUAAGUGGACAACCAUAAAAUGAUAACAUGAUAUUAAGGUUCCCACAUAAUCUAACCUGGCUUAUCAUACCAAUGAACGUUUGUCCCCUGAAAUACCAAGAGCCCUUCAAUAAGUUGAUGAGCCAGAAGGAACCCUGUUUCUCCCUGGAUUCAUAAUAGCAGAAAACAUAUGAAAUAUGAAUAAGUUGCUAUAUCCUCCAAACCCAAAAUUAUACAAAAACAUAUUGAGGGGAUGCUCAAUAGUCUAUAUCAUGUGACAUUAACAAUUAGGAAAAAUUAUUAAGCACACUUGAGAUGAAGUCCAAAUGAACCCAAAAGGUCAUGCUAAAGGGUAGACAACGAUAUUAACAUAAUACAUGACGAGCAUCGUGCUGGCCUAUACUGAUGAGCACCGUGCUGCCUAUGCUUUUCUUUUUCUUCACAGUGUUUGUCAUAAGCUUUAUGCUCUUAAAUUAAAUAGUUUGGUACCUUGUAUCUUGAGAUCUGUUGACAGAGUAACUAGAAUGUAGUCGCACUUCUAUGUAAACAUUGGAAUGGUUAAACUCAAUCUGUACCCAAAAAAAAUAAAAAGCCAAACAAGUAAAAGUAAGUAUAAGUAAAACAGCAUGAAAGGGUAUUUCCAAAGCAAAAGAAAAUAUAAGAAAUUAGCUUUUGAUGUGCAACUUCAACACAAUAAACAAUGCUAAAUCAAAAUUAUAGUGCAUCAGAAAAAGCAUAUAACCGUUUUUAUUAAAAUCUUCAAUUCACUUAUUGUUCUUCCAGGGCACUNNNNNNNNNNNNNNNNNNNNNNNNNNNNNNNNNNNNNNNNNNNNNNNNNNNNNNNNNNNNNNNNNNNNNNNNNNNNNNNNNNNNNNNNNNNNNNNNNNNNUGUCAAGAGAGAGUAACCCCAGGCCCAAGCUGAAUUUUUUUAGAGAAUAUCAAAUCAAUUGAUGCAAUAAAAAUAAUUUUUAAAUCCAUGAAAACUAUAUUUCUAGAGUAAUUUAACUUUUUGUUUGUAUUACCCUCAAUCCAAAAUUAAUCUUUUUUUUUUGGUCUUUUCUUUUUUUUAUUUUAAACUUUAAAAUUCAUUACAUUUCUAUUGAACAAAAUAUUUGUUUAUAAAGCUUAGAUUUUCGGAAUCUAUUUAUUGAGAGUUAUUAAAAAAAAAUCAAUAGUUAGUAUUAAUAAGUAUUUUUGAUAAAAAAUGUAUGUUUAUUAUCGUGAACUUUUAAAUUCGUCUCACUCUCAACCAUUACUACAGUCACUUUUCUUAGUUUUGAGUCUAAAAUUUUUUAAUACAGUGUGCGAGAUUAUAAAAAAUUCAGUGCUAGUGGCAGAGGUAGUGAUAAAUGAUUGCCUGUGAUGAUUAGUGGUCAUUGCUAUGGUGAUUUGUAAGGACGAUGAGUAGUGUUUUGGGAGUUUUUAGUUGAUGAUUGUAGUGAUUGGUAUGAUGAUCGUAGAUUGUAAAAAUUUUCAACAAUCGUGCAUCAUAAUUUACAACUGGAAAAUUAUUAUUACCACUUCGGUGGCAAACGUUUUUGUGCUACUUGUAAAUUUGGCAAAUAUCCAACUAAAAAUGUAAAUUAUAAAUGCCUUUACAUUUUUUUAGUUUGGAUACAAUAUGAGCAGGGCGAAGGAAGAUGUUGAUUUUUUUUUGCCAUCUGAAAAAAUUUCUCCAUAUAAAGCAGUAUCAUUAAUAAAUGAAAAUCUCAUAUAUACAUAGGUUAACAUAUAUAUAUAAUUAGUCUCCUAAAAUAAUAAAUUGAUUGCAUUAUUUAUUAGUGCUUUCGUUCACACCAGCACUAUUUCAUGUCCUCACUUUUAAUUUGUCUAUUUUGGUCACAUAUAAAAACGAAGUAUUUUUAGUCGUUAUCCGUCAAAUUAAUAUCUUCUUUACUGUAACUUUGUUAAAAUCCUAUGAUAAAGUAUUGAUUGUGGUUAGCAUAAUAGCUCGAGGUUUUUUUUCGAUAGACAAUAUCACUUAAAAGGUCAUUUUUGACAAUCUCAAAAAUACUUGUAUCCGUCUAUUGGGAUUAAUAUGAAAACUUUCAACUUUUUUAAAAGAAAAAAAAGGUUAAUUCUCGUGAAAUAAUCUCAUGUUUCUUGUUUUAAUACUAAAACAAAAGGUAAGAAAAUUUGCGCCAUAAAUCAAUUGGAUUAAAGUAGAGUGUGAACUCAAUUUUUACUUUUGAAUUAGUUUUUACCGUAUUGUAAUCUGACUUUAGCUCCAUAUAACAACUUUUACUUUUUAAAGUGUAUAGCCAAGAAUGGCUCCAAAUUAACUACAUAAAUUCUAAAAAUGCAAACCACAUUAUUCAUGACAAGGGAGAUAAGUGUUAUUUUAAAAACUAUAAAAAAAAUAACUGUAUUUAUUAAAAAUUUUAAAAGAGGGAGAUAAGUGUUAUUUUAAAAAUUACAAGAAAGUAACUGUAUUUAUUAGAUUUAUCCCAAAAAAUUAGGAGUAGAGAAAACAUUCUUCCGUCCAAAUAUAGUCACCAAAAAUAUAAUCAAAGAAAAUGACGUGUGAAAAUUACUAUUCAAAUUUUUUUUCUUUAUCGUUAGAAACCAAUUGCUAUUUCUCUCAGGAGACAACUCUGCUUGAUACCUAAACAAGACGUAAAGGCCCUGUUUGAUAACCGGGUUAGGGGGGGGAUUGGGAUUAGGAAUCCGUAGGCCCCUAAUCCCGUAUUUGGUUUGACAAUUUAGUGGCCGGACUACAAUCCCCCCCCCUAUCCAAUCCCCCAAUGUGUUGAUUUCUAAUCCCUUUUGUCUUUUUUCUGUAACAUCCUCCCUCGGCUUCUCCCCCUCCCCGUUUCUCCUGUUUCGCCCCCUUUUCUCUUUUUCUCUUUGUGUAAAUAAAGGGUAGUAUGAACUUUCAUGAAAAAAAUCCAUAAUUUUUUGGACACAUUGACCAUAUUACCCCUUGAUAUUAGUACUAAUCCCACCGGUCUAAAUCCCGUGCAACCAAACACCCCCUUCAUACUCUUCCGUGAUUGUCCCGUUAUUCCUCCUCCCGUGGCCUCCUUCAUCCCUCCCAAUCCUAAUCUCCCCCCCUCCCUUGCCUCCUCCUCCCCUCGCCUCGCUCCGUCCCCCUUAACCUCUGCCCCCGGUUCUGGCUCCCCAUCAGUGUCCCCCGUCCCCUUCUCUUGGUCCGCCUGUUGGAUCUCCUUUUCGAUCAUGCGCGCCGUCGGAUAUACUAUAUAUCUGAAAGAUAUUCAUAAAUCGUAUAUUUAAAUACUAAACUAAUGAUUAUCGUACGUCAUCCGUAGUCGUUUGCCGAGCGCUUCGCCUCGUUUUUCACAGUUAUAACUGUCGUAUGACUCAUGUCGAUGUCUCUGAUGUGCAUUCAUGUCCUUAAAUUCCCUUCGGGAUCUCGUAUUCUUGACGACAUCAUGCCUGGGAGUACUGCAGCGGCCCUCAGAAGCCAGAAAUGAGAGGAGGAGCAGACAGCUGGUAUAAAAAACACUUAUACUACCCCAUUUGGUUAGCAUAAAAGUUGAUACAUAAUAGUAUUUCUAUCACAUGGAGUUAUUUUUCGAAAUGUUUAUCCGACCAUCAAGUAAUUGACGAUAAUCAAAUGUAUGUGUAGAGGAGAUGUAGCAGUUUAUGAAUAACCCAAUUUUGCAUUAAUUAUAUCAAUAUUUUUCAAUAGAUUCUAUAAAUGAUGGGUUUCGAAUUAGCACAUACUUUAAAUGUACUCACAAAUUUACUACCUUAACUUUAAAUCUAAUUUGGGGGGGGGGGCAUACCUUUUUAAAUUUUUUUAGAUGCUUUUGUUUUGAGUUUUUUUCGUCUUUAGAGUUUUUUUCUCACCUUUUUAUCAAAAAAUUUAAUUUUAAAUGUUCAUUUUAACGAAAAAUCUAAUAAAUCUAAACAUUAGCAAAUAAUUUGAAAAUAAUCCUCUAGUACUAAUUUAUCGAGUACAAACGACUUUAUUGAUUCUUUCCUCACAUUAUAUAAAGAUUUAAAUUUUCAACUUCUCCUCGUCAAAAUAAUUGAAAAAAAUUAUCAAAUUUUGAUCACCAAUCAUAGUUCACUAAAAACUAAUAAAAAAAAAACUCAAAAUACAAAUUAAAACGGCUUCAUUUUGGUCUUAAUUAUGAAACGGCGUCAUUUUAUGGUUAAUUAAAAUAACGUCGUUUUAGUCUUGAAAUAUACAAAGUGACGUCGUUUUGUACACUUUAGGAACACUUCGUGAAACUUGGAUCCGAACUCACUGUAUGGGUUAUCUCAUCUAAAACCCGAACUUCCGCCAUGGGCGUGGUACAACAGACAGCACGUGCCGCGAGUGAUGACGUGUACAUUUAAGUGACUUAUACAACUCAUAAUUCCUUCAAGUGAAGCGUGCCAUUUGGUAAGUUCAGUUAUUCCACGUCAACAUAACCGUUGUUUGCUGUAAUGAUUGUUUUAUUGUUAUUGUUAUUUUUAAAGUUCUGACACGUUUCUGUUUUUUCCUUUUUGCUAAAAAUAAAUUUGAAAAAAAUGUUUUUUCAAAAUUUCGAUUUUUUUUAAUUUUUAAUAUUUUUUAAAACCAUUUGAUCUAAAUUUAUAUUUUUUGGUAUCUUUUGAUUGGAUGAAUUAAAAAAUGUAAACAAAUUCAUCUAAAUUUAAAAAAAUCACAAAAAAAUUAAUUGAGAACUAUUACUAAGUUUUAGAGUCAUUUUUUUUCUGUAAAAGUAAACCUUUUUAAUUCUCUCUCAACAAAAUUUUAAAAAAUAAGAUUUGAUCAAAACAUAAAGAAAGUCCACUAAAUAUGAAAAACUCAAAAACCAAAUCAAAUAAAAAAUUUUUAAAAAUAAUUUGGCCAAACAAGAAUGUACUUUUGAUUAACCAGUCAUUAACAUAAUGUCAACUGUAUAAAACACUCACUAAGAGUAAAUUUUGCAGAAUAUAGUUCAAUUCUGAACCCGACUUAAUAAUUCAAAUCAUUCAUAUUAUAAUCAUCAUUGUAAUUUUUUUAUUAAAGUAUAUUUAUUAUAUUUAUCCCAAAAAAUUAGGAGUAGAGAGAGAUUUUUUCCGUCCAAAUAGAAUCACCAAAAAUAUAAUCAAAGAAAAUGACAUGAAAAUUACUAUUCAGAAUUUUUUUCUUUAUCAUUAGAAACCAAUUGCUAUUUCUCUCGGAGACACUCGCUUGAUAACCAACAAGACGUAGACUGUAUUCAUGGGCUAAUUUUCGAAUCAAGCCAAAAUAUAAUUAACGAAAAUAAGUGUAAAAUUAUCAUAUAAAAAAAAAAAAUUUCUUUUUUUUUUUCUCGUGCGAAACAAGUCGAGUAUCUAUCACAUGCGAGACUCAAUAGACAAUGCUUACUUGGAGAGAGAGAAGGGACAAACAGCUGGUAAAAAAAACAAAACCUUAGCUUUCAAAACCGUUUUAACAUUACAGCUGUCAAAACCGUUUUAUCAUACAGCUGUCAAAACAAAAACCGUUUUUUUUUGUUUCUUUCUUCAAAACAAUGCAAGCAAGAAAAUCAGCGAUUCACCGCUGCUAUAUAAGAGAGAUAGUAGCAUGAAGUGCAGGAGAAAGGCCAUUCGAAGCUCUCUUGAAUCCUUGGAAGUCUCUCUCUCCUCUUUUUCUCCACAACGACACAUUUUUCAAAGAUUGUAAUAAUUUCUUGUUUUAGGGUUUUCCCUUCCUGUUGAUUUACGGAGAGGGAGAGGAGUAGAAUUGAUUUCCAGAAAUAAGAAGAGCCAUUCAAAGCUUUCUUUGGUCCUGCGAGUAUCUCUCUGUUUUUCUUCAUAAACACCACAUUUUUCCGAAAGAAUUGCAAAUAAAUUACUGUUUUAGGGUUUUCGCUGUGAUUCACGUUUUGCGGGCUCUAAUUUCUGAUAGUAUGUCCUUCAUUCAUCUCGGGGCACGGAUGAUGCUAUUACUGUUUAUUUACAAAUGGUUGUUGUUUCUUCUCUGACUCGUUGUCUUACAGCUGAUAAUAUUCUAUUAUUGAUAGUCAUCUUUUUAAUCUGUUCUGUGUUUGGUCUUUUAAGAUCAAAUUAGUUGGUAUACUAUUCCAAAUUCAUCUUGAGAGCUCGCGGACCCCUUUGAAUAUUAUUUUGUAUUUGCUCCAGGAAUAAGCAAUCUACCAAAUGGAAGCGGAGGUAUAUUGCGUUUCUCCUUGAUUUCCAGUGUCAUUGAGUUUAGGGGAUUGGGGGGGUUUAAGUUUCGUGUUCUGUGAAUCUCAACAUUCGCUUGUCACUCUCCUUGUUAUGAACUGCUUACACUUUACGUUGUAAUUCCUGUGAUUUAAACUUUUGAUGUUAUUGCAUUUCUGGAUUCAGUGUCAUGGCUUUUGAUUUGGGGGUACGGUUCUGUGAAUCUACAACUUGGCCCUAUAAGCGUUCAUUUCUGAUACAAUCUCAAUUCCAUGUUUGUGGAAUAUAUAAGGUACUUGAUAGCACCCAUCCUUCUUUGUCGUAGUUGUUUUGGGUCAAGUCUUGAAUUGGGUUUCUUAGUCCAGUGGAGCAAUCAAAUGAUCGAAACUGGGCCUAUUCUUAGGAUUUUAUGAAGACCACCACGUGAUGUUUUGACUACUUGGUCUCCAAAUCACAGUAUCCUCUCUCCGCGCAGUUUUAAUUUUUUAUGCUCCGUUUGGAGGAUAUGGAUUGAAAUCCAUAGUUUGAAGAGUUUCAAAUCUUUGGAUCUUUUUUUGUUUUUGAAAAGCUUUCAAUUAUAUUGAUUUCACCUAUUUUGGGGAAAAAGAGAGGAAAGAGAGACAAGAGAGGAGAGAGAAAAUAAGGGUGAAUUGUUGGAGGGAUUUGUCAAAUAAAACUUAUUUUGGACUCAUUUGAAAUCCCUUCAAUUUACUAUUUUCCUUGAUUGGUCUAUUCGCCAUCUAAAUAUACUCGACUCGACGGAUUUCCCUAGAAUUCAAAUUCACUUAUUCACUUAUCCAAACGCCUUAUGUCCUUAUAUUCUUGUAUCUUUCAUUACGAAGUUCUGUCUUAUAUCCUUCUGUUAUUGUAUGUUACUUUACGAAGUUCCGUCUUCAUUCUUAAUUGAUUAAUGAACCCAUUGUUCCAAAUGUUGUUUUCAAGCAUUCAUCAUCCUUGCCUUACCUUGGAGACCUAAACAUGUCAACAAGCGGGUGUUUUACUAUGUUGCUGGUUUGAAAUCUUUAGACGAAUCGCAUCAAUAGAUCUCCCCAUUAGGGUGUAUCAUUGACCUUUCCUGGGGUCCUGUCUUUUUAAAAAAGCUAUAUAUUUUUGGAUAAUGCAUUAUAUCCAUAUUUAUUAGUCUUCAAACUUAUAAUAAACUAGUAUUUGUUUUGUUUGUAUAGCAGGUUGUUUUGUCGUGUGUGAACCCCGGAAGACAUGCAGGACAAGUCCGCUUACUUGUGUUCACAUCCUUCAUGAGCGUCCGUGAGGAACAGUGUCUGCCAGGGCCCAAUGAAAUAUUGUUGUUUCCGCUCCAAGCAUGUAAGUAUUAUUGCAUAAUCAUAUCACUUUAUAGAUCGAGCAUUCUCCAAAGCGGUCCAACAUAAAUUGUAUAAUGGAGAAUUUUGGAGAGCUUCUCAAAUCAGCACAGUGGUAAAUAUCAAAAAAAUUGUGCAAUUUAAUUUCUCUCUGGAUUAUCAAUCUUGGUCCCGGUUAUUUUGGGUAUGACAGGAAACAUAAUUUUUGCCCUCCACAGGGUUUACUUUUGCGGUUCGCUAAGGCCGGCAGUGUGUGGGAAUAAUGAUGGUUUAAUACUCAUGCCCUUGUUGUUGAAGAAUUGAGUGUGCCCGCGUAAUCUGCAGUUCAAAGAGAUGUGGAUGACCGUAAGGCCAACUAACUCUGCAACUGUUAGCAUAUUUAUUAACGAUAUUGGUUGCUUCUUGUUGUGGGUCGCAGGUUCAAUGAAACUUGUUUCUUGAGUUGGAUUUUGAGCCCUUCACUGCAUCCUUUUCCUCGGCCCAACUCUUCA
rnacentral:lncRNA from 1 species